rnacentral:rRNA from 1 species
ACGAACGCUGGCGGCAUGCCUAACACCUGCAAGUCGAACGAGACCUUCGGGUCUAGUGGCGCACGGGUGCGUAACGCGUGGGAACCUGCCCUUAGGUUCGGAAUAACUCCCCGAAAGGGGUGCUGAUACCGGAUAAUGUCUUCGGACCAAAGAUUUAUCGCCUUUGGAUGGGCCCGCGUUGGAUUAGCUAGUUGGUAGGGUAAAAGCCUACCAAGGCGACGAUCCAUAGCUGGUCUGAGAGGAUGAUCAGCCACACUGGGACUGAGACACGGCCCAGACUCCUACGGGAGGCAGCAGUGGGGAAUAUUGGACAAUGGGCGAAAGCCUGAUCCAGCAAUGCCGCGUGAGUGAUGAAGGCCUUAGGGUUGUAAAGCUCUUUUACCCGGGAUGAUAAUGACAGUACCGGGAGAAUAAGCUCCGGCUAACUCCGUG